GACGGAGGGUGCUAGCGUUGUUCGGAAUCACUGGGCGUAAAGGGCGCGUAGGCGGUGCAUUUGGUCAGGCGUGAAAUUCCUGGGCUUAACCUGGGGACUGCGCUUGAGACGGGUGUGCUGGAGGGCAGGAGAGGCUCGCGGAAUUCCCAGUGUAGAGGUGAAAUUCGUAGAUAUUGGGAGGAACACCAGUGGCGAAGGCGGCUCACUGGUCCAUUACUGACGCUGAGGUGCGAAAGCGUGGGGAGCAAACAGG
rnacentral:rRNA from 1 species